rnacentral:rRNA from 1 species
UACGUAGGGUGCACGCGUUAAUCGGAAUUACUGGGCGUAAAGCGUGCGCAGGCGGUCUUGUAAGACAGAGGUGAAAUCCCCGGGCUUAACCUGGGAACUGCCUUUGUGACUGCAAGGCUUGAGUACGGCAGAGGGGGAUGGAAUUCCGCGUGUAGCAGUGAAAUGCGUAGAUAUGCGGAGGAACACCGAUGGCGAAGGCAGUCCCCUGGGCCUGUACUGACGCUCAUGCACGAAAGCGUGGGGAGCAAACAGG